AUACGGGACUAUUAAGGACAUGA
rnacentral:miRNA from 1 species